CCUACGGGUGGCAGCAGUGGGGAAUAUUGCACAAUGGGCGAAAGCCUGAUGCAGCAACGCCGCGUGAAGGAAUACGGUUUUCGGAUUGUAAACUUCUGUUCUUAGGGACGAAUAAUGACGGUAACUAAGGAGCAAGCCACGGCUAACUACGUGCCAGCAGCCGCGGUAAUACGUAGGUGGCAAGCGUUGUCCGGAAUAACUGGGUGUAAAGGGAGCGUAGGCGGGAAGUCAAGUCAGCUGUGAAAAGUACGGGCUUAACGUGUAGACUGCAGUUGAAACUGGCUUUCUUGAGUGAAGUAGAGGUGUGCGGAAUUGCGAGUGUAGCGGUGAAAUGUGUAGAUAUGCGGAGGAACACCGGUGGCGAAGGCGGCCAACUGGGCUUUAACUGACGCUGAGGCUCGAAAGUGGGGGGAGCAAACAGGAUUAGAUACCCUUGUAGUC
rnacentral:rRNA from 1 species